AAAUUGAAGAGUUUGAUCAUGGCUCAGAUUGAACGCUGGCGGCAGGCCUAACACAUGCAAGUCGAACGGUAGCACAGAGAGCUUGCUCUCGGGUGACGAGUGGCGGACGGGUGAGUAAUGUCUGGGAAACUGCCUGAUGGAGGGGGAUAACUACUGGAAACGGUAGCUAAUACCGCAUAACGUCGCAAGACCAAAGAGGGGGACCUUCGGGCCUCUUGCCAUCAGAUGUGCCCAGAUGGGAUUAGCUAGUAGGUGGGGUAACGGCUCACCUAGGCGACGAUCCCUAGCUGGUCUGAGAGGAUGACCAGCCACACUGGAACUGAGACACGGUCCAGACUCCUACGGGAGGCAGCAGUGGGGAAUAUUGCACAAUGGGCGCAAGCCUGAUGCAGCCAUGCCGCGUGUAUGAAGAAGGCCUUCGGGUUGUAAAGUACUUUCAGCGGGGAGGAAGGCGAUAAGGUUAAUAACCUUGUCGAUUGACGUUACCCGCAGAAGAAGCACCGGCUAACUCCGUGCCAGCAGCCGCGGUAAUACGGAGGGUGCAAGCGUUAAUCGGAAUUACUGGGCGUAAAGCGCACGCAGGCGGUCUGUCAAGUCGGAUGUGAAAUCCCCGGGCUCAACCUGGGAACUGCAUUCGAAACUGGCAGGCUAGAGUCUUGUAGAGGGGGGUAGAAUUCCAGGUGUAGCGGUGAAAUGCGUAGAGAUCUGGAGGAAUACCGGUGGCGAAGGCGGCCCCCUGGACAAAGACUGACGCUCAGGUGCGAAAGCGUGGGGAGCAAACAGGAUUAGAUACCCUGGUAGUCCACGCCGUAAACGAUGUCGAUUUGGAGGUUGUGCCCUUGAGGCGUGGCUUCCGGAGCUAACGCGUUAAAUCGACCGCCUGGGGAGUACGGCCGCAAGGUUAAAACUCAAAUGAAUUGACGGGGGCCCGCACAAGCGGUGGAGCAUGUGGUUUAAUUCGAUGCAACGCGAAGAACCUUACCUGGUCUUGACAUCCACAGAACUUAGCAGAGAUGCUUUGGUGCCUUCGGGAACUGUGAGACAGGUGCUGCAUGGCUGUCGUCAGCUCGUGUUGUGAAAUGUUGGGUUAAGUCCCGCAACGAGCGCAACCCUUAUCCUUUGUUGCCAGCGGUCCGGCCGGGAACUCAAAGGAGACUGCCAGUGAUAAACUGGAGGAAGGUGGGGAUGACGUCAAGUCAUCAUGGCCCUUACGACCAGGGCUACACACGUGCUACAAUGGCGCAUACAAAGAGAAGCGACCUCGCGAGAGCAAGCGGACCUCAUAAAGUGCGUCGUAGUCCGGAUUGGAGUCUGCAACUCGACUCCAUGAAGUCGGAAUCGCUAGUAAUCGUAGAUCAGAAUGCUACGGUGAAUACGUUCCCGGGCCUUGUACACACCGCCCGUCACACCAUGGGAGUGGGUUGCAAAAGAAGUAGGUAGCUUAACCUUCGGGAGGGCGCUUACCACUUUGUGAUUCAUGACUGGGGUGAAGUCGUAACAAGGUAACCGUAGGGGAACCUGCGGUUGGAUCACCUCCUUACCUUAAAGAA
rnacentral:rRNA from 1 species